AAACAUCUUCAUUUGCAGUAAAAAAUACGAAAACAAGAGUGGGAAGGGGGAGGAGGCGACAGAGGAGGAAAGUGGUGAAAGGGAGCAGGACCUGAGCAUUUACUUCCUUAAAAGACAGAUGGACUGGGGACAGACAGGACAAAAUACCUACACCUGGUAAACCUGGCUGGUGAGAACGUGGGUACGGUUCUUCAGAAAGUUUAAGAAUUUCGGGAGUUCCCAUCAUGGCGCAGUGGUUAACGAAUCCGACUAAGAACCACGAGGUUGCGGGUUCGGUCAGUGCCCUUGCUCAGUGGGUUAAGGAUCCGGCAUUGCCGUGACCUGUUGUGUAGGUUGCAGACACAGUUCAGAUCCUGAGUUGCUGUGGCUCUGGUGUAGGCUGGCCGCUACAGCUCUGACUCGACCCCUAGCCUGGGAACCUCCACAUGCUGUGAGUGCAGCUCUAAAAAGCAACAACAAAUUCAUAAUUUUCAUAAUUAAACACUUUGAAUUUAAUUUUUCAAUUUUAUGGCCACAGAUGGAAGUGCCGGGGCCAUGGAUUGAAUCCAAGCCACAGCUACAGCAAUGCUAGAUCCUUAACCCACCUUGCUGGGCCAGGGAUCAAACCUGUGUCCCACGGCUCCAGAGACGCUGUUGAUCCCAUUGGGUCACAGCAGGAACUCCUGCAGUUGGAGUCUUAAUCCACUGUGCCAUGGCAGGAACUCCUCAAUGCCUUCUAAAUUUAAUGAGUAAAUCCUCUACCCAGGAGUUCCCAUCGUGGAGCAGCAGAAACAAAUCCAACUAGGAACCACGUUUCUGGUUCGAACCCUGGCCUCGCUCAAUGGGUUAAGGAUCUGACAUUGCUGUGAGCUGUGGCAUAGGUUGCAAAUUUGGUUCAGAUCCUGUGUUGCUGUGGCUGUGGUGUAGGCUGGCAGCUGCAGCUCCAAUCUGACCCUUAGCCUGGGAACCUUCAUACACGGUGGGUAGGGCCCUAAAAAGCAAAAUUAAUUAAUUAAUUAAUUAAUUAAAUCCUCUACCCAGAGUCACAAAGAUAUCCAGUCUACUGAUGGUUUUUCCUUUCACAAGUAUGUCUUCGAGCCAUUUGGAGAGGGUUGGUUGGUUGGUUUCUGUCUUUUUGUCUUUUUGAGGGCUGACUCCGCAGCACAUGGAGGUUCCCGGCUAGGGGUCCACUCAGAGCUGUAGCUGCCAGCCUGCGCCACAGCCACAGCAGCGCCAGGUCUUUAACCCACUGAGCGAGGCCAGGGUGUUGCCGUGAGCUGUGGUGUGGGUCGCAGACACUGCUCGGAUCCUGUGUUGCUAUGGCUCUGGCGUAGGCUGGCGGCUACAGCUCAGAUUAGACCCCUAGCCUGGGAACCUCCAUAUGUUGCAGGAGCGGCCCAGAAAUGGCAAAAAGAAAAAAAAAGAAGCCACGUCGGGGUUCCCGCUGUAGUGCGACAGUUCAGCUGCAUCCUGGGAGCGCUGGGACACAGCUUUGAUCCCUGGCCUGCACAGCAGGUUAAGGAUUCAGCAUUGUUGCAACUUUGGUGUAGGUGGCAACUGCGGCUCAGAGCUGAUCUCUGGCCCAGGAGCUCCACAGGCCAUGGAACAGCCAAAAAACAGGAAAAAUGAAAAAGAAAGAAGCCCACUUCCCAAGGGGGACAGUUUCAGACGCACCCGUGGCAGGCCUUUCCUCACUGAGCACGAAGGGCCCUGCUGGGGGCUGGACAUCUGUGCUGGGAGCAAAACUUCUGCCCAGAGCUCAAGGUCAAGGGGGAGCCAUUCAGGGUCAAGGGGGAGUCUCAUGCAGGGCACUUCAGGGAAGCUGGCCAGUGGUGGUCUCAGUGGCCCUCAGAGGUCAGAGGUGAGGGGCAGAGCACUAUCCCGGAGGAAGGAUCCUUCCGCAGGCCUGUGACAGCCAGGGUAAGGGGCCAGCGGGGCCGCCAGACAGCCUGCCACUGGGCACCCCAGGAGAGGGCUCUGAACCUGGCAGUGGGUCCAGAUCCUCUGCCUCCUGUCCCAUCUUUCAGCCCGGGGAGCCUCUACACCCUCACAGAAUAGGCAGCCGUGCCCCCCAGGCCUGAGGUGCCAUCCUGUCUGGGGCAGCAGCUCUUCCACAGUCACGAGGGGCAGGUGGGAGACAGGCGAGGGACAGGUGAGGGGUUACCAAGCAGCGAGAGCAAAUGUUUUGCAGGCAAUGGGUUUGCUUGUUUCUUGGCUGCACUUUCAGCUUACAGAAUUUCCAAGGAUUAAACCCACACCACAGCAGUGGGCCAAGUUGCCGCAGGGACAAUGCCAGAUCCUUGACCCAGUGCGCCACAAAGGAACUCCCCCUGAUUGUGGUGGUGGUCACGGGUGCAGACAGGCCCAGGCUCACCAGCGUAUGUACCAUACUCCGUGCAGCCAACUGAAUGUCCCUCAUACCUCAGUCAAGCUAUGAAAACCACUACCAGCCGAAUCGUUUUAGUUGAGGAAUAAACAGUUUAGUUUAUCUAGCGUUAGAUAAGCAUUUUGGGUGGGGUCAGCACACCCAGAGCAGGGUCACGUUUAGGUCUGGACCCCAGGCACCCUCCCCGGGGCCGCCUGUAGCCAUCCACAGGCCACACUCAUGUUUACCGAUACUUCGUCGGGGGAAGGGCCUUUUUAUCACCUUCAAAUUUGAGAAAGUACAUUUCUUGGAGUAAAAAUAGACCGUGCAUUUGUAAGGCACAAUUUAAUACCUCCUGACUCAGCCGGGUUCGCAUGAUUUUCUUAUUUUAACACUUCCUUCUGCAGUGGCUGCACCUGCUCCCUCCUGGUAGCAAAGGCAUCUCCAGUUCCAGUCGCCAUGGAGCCCACGGGCCGCCCCCACCAUGCCUCCCCAGCAGCCACAUCCACGGCUCGCACCCAGGCCGGGUGCUGAGGACCAGGCGGGGGGGGGCGGGGUUCCUGAGCGGAUUCGGAACUUCCUUUCCGAAAGGAACCUCGCAGGUCACAGGUUCCCGAGGUGAAGCUCUCACAUCACCUCCCACUGGGUAAAAGUGUCCAGAUUACGUCCGGGGGCGGAGGAGCUGGCGGUUAAUUCCACUUCUUCCCGGCCAACAUUCCUUCUUCCUCCUCCAGCAGAUGCCAGGCGGGUAUCGUGUGGGGUCAAGAUGCUCUCAGGUCUGGAUGUGAUGGGUGUCCCCCAGAUACUCCAAAAUUUGGAAAUAGAGCCAUUCUUUGUAAACCAGCUAUAAUGGAAAAAAAAAUAAAAGUCAUUAUAUAAAAAAAUUAAAAUAAAUAAAAAGCCAUUCUCCAAGAGGUCAGCUAGUAAGCCCUGCAAUGACUGUGUGUGUCACCUAGGAAAGAACACACGACCAGUUAACUCAACAACGGAAGAGUCAUGGACGAGUUCCUGCGGCGGCUCCCCGGAAACAAAGCUGAGGAUGCGGGGUCGAUCCCUGGCCUUGCUCCAUGGGUUCACAAUCUGGUGUUGUCACGAGAUGUGGUGUAAGUCACAGGUGUGGCUCGGACCCCACGCUCGUCGUUGUGGCUGUGGUGGAGGCCGGCAGCCUCAGCUCCAAUUUGAACCCUAGCCUGGGAACCUCCAUAUGCCAUGAGUGUGGCCCUAAAAAGCAAAAGAGAGAGAGAGAGAGAGAGAGAGACCUCUCUCUGCUGACAAAGUAAAAGAGGCCUAACCCCCCGGGACCUGAACCUGAACCCGAGCCCAGCAAUGUCCUGGCUGGGGGCUGUUUCUUUGACGCGCCGGUCAGAACCAACAAGGAAAAGCCAGGUCCAAAGAGGGGUCCGGUCCCCACGAGGCCUCAGGGACAGAAGAGCCGAGUCGGGCAGCGUUCCGGCCCUGGGGUGUGAGCAGGCAGCCUCGGCCAAAACUGCCAAGGCCCUUGGGCUUCAGCAGCAAGGGGACCUGAGGUGCACAGUGACCGCCAGAUCCCACACUGGCCUCCAGUUAGCUGGCUUGGUGGGAUGCCAGCUCACACACGUAUCCUAGAGGCCCCGGGAGCUACCAGGUUCCUGUGCUGCAGUCAAGUCCCGGCCAGAGUUCACUCAGAGCCAGAGCCUGACCCCAGGGCAGGAUCAUGCUUCUGCGCCAGGAGCUGGGGCCUGAGUCCGAUGGGAGAGCUGUCCUCCCAGGGAGCUACAACCUGGAGGCAGAGAGCAGGUGGCAGCGAGGGAGGGCAGCUUCACGGGGCGGGUGGAGGAAGAGCCUCCCAAGUGCAGCUUUGGCCCCAAGCUCCAGGGCACCUCCUUGGAGCCUGAGAAGGAGCCAGGCUCUCCUCCCACAGCCCCUGUUGCAGCACACAGCAGAGACAGCCUGUUACCUGAGGGGGAGGCCCGAGGGGCCUCGCCCAGCCCUCUGCCCAGCCUGACCCCAAGGUCCACGGUGCUCCCUCAAGAGGGCGCAGGCCCCAGGGCAGAGUCAGGGAUGAGCAGCCCAGGCUGGGGGCUCUGACCACCCCAAGGAAGGCGUGUUCUGGCCCAGAGGAAGGGGGUUCUGCCUUGCCGAGUGCUUGGGGACCAUCACCUCUCCGAUUCCCAGCAGGCCUGCGUUGGGGCUGGGAGGAAAUGCGGGCAGGCCAGGAUGUCUGCAUGAAGUCACCCUCAGCAUCCCUGGCCGGCUCCACAGUGCCUGGAGCCACCAGAGACCCAUGUGGGGCCGGUGCCAGCUCAGAGACCCAGAACAACGCAGCAGGACUGCCAGGCCUUUCCGCGGUGGUGGCAGAUAAAGCUAGUCCAUGCCCGCCAGGCUGUACCAAGUUACCAUGGCAACAGCAAGAGUGGGCAAAGGAACCCCCAGAUUGUUUGCCUAAAGCAAUUUUAAGGUCCACUGCCUCAGGGUGACGCUUUGGGACACUCUCGGCAACACGCAGGGGUCAGUCAUGUGUUUGGUCAGCAGAUACAAGCGGCAUGAGCAGGUUCUGGAAGGCCCACCUCCGAGGUGGGUGCCCUCUGCUCCAGCUGUGCUGGGUGUUGUUUUUGCUGGGUUUUUUUUUGGCUGCACUUGUGGCAUACAGAAAUUCCCAGGCCAGGAGUUCCUGUUGUGGCACAGUGGAAACGAAUCCGACUAGGAACCGUGAGGCUGCCGUUUCGAUGCCUGGUCUUGCUCAGCGGGUUAAGGAUCCAGUGUUGCCGUGAGCUGUGGUGCAGGUCACAAGCGUGGCUCAGCUCGGAUCUGGCGUGGCUGUGGCUGUGGUGUAGGCUGGAAGCUGUAGCUCCGAUUUGAUUCCUAGCCUGGGAACCUCCAUAUGCAGCAGGUGUGGCCCUAAAAAGAAAAAAAGCAAAAGAAAUUCCCAGGCCAGGGAUCAAACCCAGGCUACAGCUGCAACCCGUCCGACAGCAGAGACAAUGCCGGAUCCUUAACCCACUGCGUUUUGCCAGUUGUACCUACCGUUCUAAAAAGCAGUGAAGCACCCUCACUUCAUGGAAGGGCUCCCCAAGCUGGCAAGGCCGGGAGCUCAGCCUCCACAGCUGAGGCUUCAGAAUCCUAACCACGGUUCACAUGAUUUCCUGGGCCUCCUCGCCAGCUCGCCAUGGAGGCCACCAGCCUCAGCAGCCAGCAAGGGACACCCGCCAGGUAUGCCCGUGGCCCGUGAGGCAGCCUCG
rnacentral:lncRNA from 1 species